UUAUGAGUUGUAAAAAAGUCAUUCUCUAUUACUUUUAUUAAUUUUUCUAUUUCGUUUCUUUUUAACUUUAUCUUCUACUCUUAGCAUAUAGCUUUCUUCUUCUACUGACCCUAUCCUUUUCAUUCAAACACAAACCCUAAUCUUCUUACUGUGAACCUUUUUCUCCCAUUGCAGCCAUUAUCGCCACCUUCAAUAGACUGAAUUUGUUUGAGAAACUGUUCAUCCAUGGCGAGAUCUGAAGCGGAGAAUUUUCCUAAUUUCUCUCUCUUCUUUUUGGAAGGUAAAAUAAAAUCCUAAAUUCUUAACGUGGUUAUAACAUUCUUCUUCUUCGAUGCAGGCUUCACGGAUUUGAACUAAUGUCGAGUUCGGUUCUUCGUCCUCGGCUUUCGUCAAGAUGAUAUUGCUCUCACCAACUUCGCCUUCUUUUCCCCCUCUGAUCUCUCUAACUUCACCGUCCCGAUUCCAACAAGCUCUACCUCGCUCUCGUCGGAGAAUGCUUCAUUACCUUCAGUUACUCCUCCCAAGGAUAACCAUUAUAUUUGUAACAUGGCUGUGCAAAAGUCUCUUAGAAG
rnacentral:lncRNA from 1 species